rnacentral:rRNA from 1 species
UUGUGCCAGCAGCGCGGUAAUACGUAGGUGGCAAGCGUUGUCCGGAAUUAUUGGGCGUAAAGCGCGCGCAGGUGGUUUCUUAAGUCUGAUGUGAAAGCCCACGGCUCAACCGUGGAGGGUCAUUGGAAACUGGGAGACUUGAGUGCAGAAGAGGAUAGUGGAAUUCCAAGUGUAGCGGUGAAAUGCGUAGAGAUUUGGAGGAACACCAGUGGCGAAGGCGACUAUCUGGUCUGUAACUGACACUGAGGCGCGAAAGCGUGGGGAGCAAACAGGAUUAGAUACCCUGGUAGUCCCAAGA